rnacentral:rRNA from 1 species
GACGAACGCUGGCGGCGUGCUUAACACAUGCAAGUCGAACGGUAAGGCUCCAGCUUGCUGGGGUACACGAGUGGCGAACGGGUGAGUAACACGUGGGUGACCUGCCCUGCACUUCGGGAUAAGCCUGGGAAACUGGGUCUAAUACCGGAUAGGACUGCACCGUGAGGGUGUGGUGGAAAGUUUUUUCGGUGUGGGAUGGGCCCGCGGCCUAUCAGCUUGUUGGUGGGGUAAUGGCCUACCAAGGCGGCGACGGGUAGCCGGCCUGAGAGGGUGGACGGCCACAUUGGGACUGAGACACGGCCCAGACUCCUACGGGAGGCAGCAGUGGGGAAUAUUGCACAAUGGGCGGAAGCCUGAUGCAGCGACGCCGCGUGGGGGAUGACGGCCUUCGGGUUGUAAACUCCUUUCACCAUCGACGAAGGGUUUCUGACGGUAGAUGGAGAAGAAGCACCGGCUAACUACGUGCCAGCAGCCGCGGUAAUACGUAGGGUGCGAGCGUUGUCCGGAAUUACUGGGCGUAAAGAGCUCGUAGGUGGUUUGUCGCGUCGUCUGUGAAUUCCGGGGCUUAACUCCGGGCGUGCAGGCGAUACGGGCAUAACUUGAGUACUGUAGGGGAGACUGGAAUUCCUGGUGUAGCGGUGAAAUGCGCAGAUAUCAGGAGGAACACCGGUGGCGAAGGCGGGUCUCUGGGCAGUAACUGACGCUGAGGAGCGAAAGCAUGGGGAGCGAACAGGAUUAGAUACCCUGGUAGUCCAUGCCGUAAACGGUGGGCGCUAGGUGUGGGUUUCCUUCCACGGGAUCCGUGCCGUAGCUAACGCAUUAAGCGCCCCGCCUGGGGAGUACGGCCGCAAAGCUAAAACUCAAAGGAAUUGACGGAGGCCCGCACAAGCGGCGGAGCAUGUGGAUUAAUUCGAUGCAACGCGAAGAACCUUACCUGGGCUUGACAUAUACAGGAUCGCGCCAGAGAUGGUGUUUCCCUUGUGGCUUGUAUACAGGUGGUGCAUGGUUGUCGUCAGCUCGUGUCGUGAGAUGUUGGGUUAAGUCCCGCAACGAGCGCAACCCUUGUCUUAUGUUGCCAGCACGUUGUGGUGGGGACUCGUAAGAAACUGCCGGGGUUAACUCGGAGGAAGGUGGGGAUGACGUCAAAUCAUCAUGCCCCUUAUGUCCAGGGCUUCACACAUGCUACAAUGGUCGGUACAGUGGGUUGCCAGUCCGUGAGGGCGAGCUAAUCCCGCAAAGCCGGUCUCAGUUCGGAUCGGGGUCUGCAACUCGACCCCGUGAAGUCGGAGUCGCUAGUAAUCGCAGAUCAGCAACGCUGCGGUGAAUACGUUCCCGGGCCU